AGUGAACGCUGGCGGUAGGCCUAACACAUGCAAGUCGAACGGCAGCACAGUAAGAGCUUGCGCUUACGGGUGGCGAGUGGCGGACGGGUGAGGAAUAUAUCGGAAUCUGCUUGUUCGUGGGGGAUGACGUAGGGGAUCUUACGCUAAUAGCGCUUAGGGCCUACGGGUGGAAGCUUGGGACCUUCGGACCUUGCGCGAGUGUAGGACGGGAUGUCGGAUUAGCUAGUUGGCGGGGUAAAGGCCCACCAAGGCGACGAUCCGUAGCUGGUCUGAGAGGAUGAUCAGCCACACUGGAACUGAGACACGGUCCAGACUCCUACGGGAGGCAGCAGUGGGGAAUAUUGGACAAUGGGCGCAAGCCUGAUCCAGCCAUACCGCGUGGGUGAAGAAGGCCUUCGGGUUGUAAAGCCCUUUUGGUGGGAAAGAAAAGCAGCAGGUUAAUACCCCGCUAUUCUGACGGUACCCAAAGAAUAAGCACCGGCUAACUUCGUG
rnacentral:rRNA from 1 species